rnacentral:rRNA from 1 species
AUUGAACGCUGGCGGCAUGCCUUACACAUGCAAGUCGAACGGCAGCACGGGAGCAAUCCUGGUGGCGAGUGGCGAACGGGUGAGUAAUAUAUCGGAACGUGCCCAGUCGUGGGGGAUAACGUAGCGAAAGCUACGCUAAUACCGCAUACGAUCUAUGGAUGAAAGCGGGGGAUCGCAAGACCUCGCGCGAUUGGAGCGGCCGAUAUCAGAUUAGGUAGUUGGUGAGGUAAAGGCUCACCAAGCCGACGAUCUGUAGCUGGUCUGAGAGGACGACCAGCCACACUGGGACUGAGACACGGCCCAGACUCCUACGGGAGGCAGCAGUGGGGAAUUUUGGACAAUGGGCGCAAGCCUGAUCCAGCAAUGCCGCGUGCAGGACUGAAGGCCUCGGUU